CCCUCACUCUUAUAUCUCUCUCUCUUCAACUCUCAUUCUCCGAUUUCUUUAUGUCUCUCGCCAUAUUCCACAAAAGAUUGGGCCGCAAAUAAAAUUAGGCCAUGUCCUUCGAGACUAGAUGAGGAGAUCUAUGUUCUUCAUCAAAUCCGUCCACCGCGGCUAAUCGACGGACUCUAUCCCCCAGUUAAGGUCGUUGUUCUUGGUGUUCUCCAUCAUCUCCAUCAGGCUAUGGAAUCUUAGAUCUGGAGGGGAUGAGAUGAAGCUUGAAUUUUUUUCUUUUUCGAUGCGAUCUGGGAACCGAGAAGUUGUGUUUAAAGCUUUGAUAUUUUCUUGUUGCUAUUAUUUUUUUUUUCUUAUGAAUUUUGGCACUCUUGAUUAUAGCAAACCCAGUUCAAUAUGUUUGUUGAGAUUA